rnacentral:rRNA from 1 species
UGGGGAAUAUUGCGCAAUGGGCGAAAGCCUGACGCAGCAACACCGCGUGAGGGAUGACGGCCUUCGGGUUGUAAACCUCUUUCAGCUCCGACGAAGCGAAAGUGACGGUAGGAGCAGAAGAAGCACCGGCUAACUACGUGCCAGCAGCCGCGGUAAUACGUAGGGUGCAAGCGUUGUCCGGAAUUAUUGGGCGUAAAGAGCUCGUAGGCGGUCCGUUGCGUCUGCCGUGAAAACCCGGAGCUCAACUCCGGGCCUGCGGUGGAUACGGGCGGACUAGAGUCCGGUAGGGGAGACUGGAAUUCCUGGUGUAGCGGGUGGAAUGCGCAGAUAUCAGGAGGAACACCGGUGGCGAAGGCGGGUCUCUGGGCCGGAACUGACGCUGAGGAGCGAAAGCGUGGGGAGCGAACAGGAUUAGAUACCCUGGUAGUCCACGCCGUAAACGGUGGGCGCUAGGUGUGGGGAUCGUUUCCACGAUCUCCGUGCCGUAGCUAACGCAUUAAGCGCCCCGCCUGGGGAGUACGGCCGCAAGGCUAAAACUC